GAUCAUUUUCUUUAUCCAUUCAUCCGUCCAUGGACACUUGGGCUGUUUCCACCACGUGGAGAUGGUGUGUUAACAUCUACGUCAUAAAGCUACAAAGGCGCUGAACAUCUUCUUGGAGGAAGAGGAAUCUUGGUUCUAGAUGAGGAAACUGAGAUACAUCCAGGUGAAACAACUUAACCAAGGUUGCACAGAUCCUAACUGUUGGAGCUUGGAUACAAACACAG